rnacentral:rRNA from 1 species
AGCGGCGGAUGGGUGAGUAACACGUGGGGAACCUGCCCCUAAGUCUGGGAUACCAUUUGGAAACAGGUGCUAAUACCGGAUAAUAAAGCAGAUCGCAUGAUCAGCUUUUGAAAGGCGGCGUAAGCUGUCGCUAAGGGAUGGCCCCGCGGUGCAUUAGCUAGUUGGUAAGGUAACGGCUUACCAAGGCGACGAUGCAUAGCCGAGUUGAGAGACUGAUCGGCCACAUUGGGACUGAGGCACGGCCCGAACUCCUACGGGAGGCAGCAGUAGGGAAUCUUCCACAAUGGACGCAAGUCUGAUGGAGCAACGCCGCGUGAGUGAAGAAGGUUUUCGGAUCGUAAAGCUCUGUUGUUGGUGAAGAAGGAUAGAGGUAGUAACUGGCCUUUAUUUGACGGUAGUCAACCAGAAAGUCACGGCUAACUACGUGCCAGCAGCCGCGGUAAUACGUAGGUGGCAAGCGUUGUCCGGAUUUAUUGGGCGUAAAGCGAGCGCAGGCGGAAAAAUAAGUCUAAUGUGAAAGCCCUCGGCUUAACCGAGGAACUGCAUCGGAAACUGUUUUUCUUGAGUGCAGAAGAGGAGAGUGGAACUCCAUGUGUAGCGGUGGAAUGCGUAGAUAUAUGGAAGAACACCAGUGGCGAAGGCGGCUCUCUGGUCUGCAACUGACGCUGAGGCUCGAAAGCAUGGGUAGCGAACAGGAUUAGAUACCCUGGUAGUCCAUGCCGUAAACGAUGAGUGCUAAGUGU